UACGGGGGGAGCAAGCGUUGUUCGGAUUUACUGGGCGUAAAGGGCGCGUAGGCGGCGCAACAAGUCACUUGUGAAAUCUCCGGGCUUAACCCGGAGCGGCCAAGUGAUACUGUCGUGCUAGAGUGCGGAAGAGGCUACUGGAAUUCCUGGUGUAGCGGUGAAAUGCGCAGAUAUCAGGAGGAACACCGAUGGCGAAGGCAGGUCUCUGGGCCAUAACUGACGCUGAGAAGCGAAAGCAUGGGGAGCGAACAGG
rnacentral:rRNA from 1 species